ACAGGACAGGACAGAAAUGAGCCAUGUAAGUCCAUAUCAGAUAUAUGGCUUUGGAGACAGGAAUAAUUCAUGUAAGUCCAUGUCGAAGACAUGGCAUUGGCAGGAUAUUGAUAGACAGGAACGACCCUAGUAUCCUUAGUAUUCCGAGUGGUUCAACGGGUCAUUGUACACGUUAAAUUACAGUGAAUUAUCAGCAAAAGGGAAGGUAGAUUAUAUUUAUGAAUAGUUAAAGGUCAGGUAAGAAA
rnacentral:lncRNA from 1 species